GCCGUCCCACCAUCGCCGUGUAUAUUUGCUACAAACAAUACUCUCUUCCUCGCGGUCGAGAGUAUUCUAUUACCCGCAAAUGAGAAAUUCGGAGUAAUCUUCAAACACUACACUACCGCUCCUGUCCGUUGCUGCCUCUGGUAGCAUCGUGAUUUGUGGUGGAUAGACUGCCCGUGAGGGUCCGGCGCGAAAGCGUCCGCAAUUUGGCAUCAGAAAUCUACAGGGCCAGUUGGAUCUGAAGCUGACCUGCUCUUGUAUCCCUCACUCAUCCUUUCGGGGUUGGGCGGUUUCAUUCGAGUUUGGGAUGACGCUGAGCUGGGAUUCCCUAUGGGAGAGCCGUUGCGAAGAUUGUGUGCGUCCUCUGCUGCUCGGUUCUUGGACUGGGAGGAGAGGGGGUGAUACUUUAGUGCAAUACGCGGCGUGCCUCGAUCUCUGUCUUUCUUGUCUGUGCAAACGGAUAGAAGGAAGGGAAAGGGUACAAUUCGAUUCCGAUUACUCUGGUGGGACGGC
rnacentral:RNase_P_RNA from 2 species